CCUACGGGAGGCAGCAGUGGGGAAUAUUGCACAAUGGGGGAAACCCUGAUCCAGCGACGUCGCGUGAGUGAUGAAGUAUCUCUGUAUGUUAAGCUCUAUCAGCAGGGAAGAAGAAAGACGGUACCUGACGAAGAAGCCCCGGCUUACUACGUGCCAGAAGCCGCGGUAAUACGUAGGGGGCAAGCGUUAUCCGGAUUUACUGGGUGUAAAGGGAGCGUAGACGGCUGUGCAAGGCUGAAGUGAAAGCCGAGGGCUCAACCCUGGGAGUGCUUUGGAAACUGUGGGGCUAGAGUGCGGGGGAGGUAAGUGGAAUUCCUGGUGUAGCGGUGAAAUGCGUAGAUAUUAGGAGGAACACCGGUGGCGAAGGCGGCUUACUGGA
rnacentral:rRNA from 1 species